UUGCUACAUUGUAGUAGUUAUGUACAUCUCAAAUUUUCAGCCCAGGAUUUUUAUUUUUACUAAUGUGAGUAUUUCUUAGUCACUCUUCAUCUUCCAGCUUUGACUGAAAAUAACUCUCCUGAAAACUGUUGGCAAUACUCACAAUGUGGUCUACAAAGAAACAUUUGAUGAUCUUGCUUGAUAACUUACCGGCGGGCAGAAAAUAUAUCAUGUUAGUACCAUUCGUAAGCAAACAUGUACCUUAUUUCUGCUUAAAUGUUCUCUGUUUCUUAUUUCAUAAGUGUUUUGCAUUCCCUAUAGAAGCUGACCGGCCAAAUUUAUGUUUACUACACUAGCAUAGUCUCUCAAGUACUGCACUCCUGCAGGCCACCCAACCCAUAUUUAAAAUCGGGUACUUCUAGUUCUGACUGCAGUCAUAUAGAUAUUCAUGUAUAAAAUUGUUUGCCUUUUGGUCUGGUUAAAUCCAGUGAUGGUGCUCUAGGUGAUCAUGCUUCUUAGCUGCUAUUAGUGGGCGAAGGCACAGCGUGUACAAGUAUAUCUUUCCACAUAGAAAAUAAUUCAUCUACACAAGCCUUCAGAACAGGGUAGAUUUCCUAGAAGGCGACACCCAAUAGGUCAUUUUUGUACCCAGGUUUCCUUGCAAGCUUAGAAUUAUCAAAUUCUACUACAGUUUAUAUUUGAUGCAUGAAAUUGACCUCUUAGCAAUCACCGGUUCAACAAUCUUUUUAUUAUAUAUAUGCAACCAUCACAGGUCCUGAUUUUUUAAAUUAAAUAUUCUUAAUGUUGAGCAUUUUUUGUUACGGAUUCAGUUCAUUAUUCAGGAUCGCAAGAGUCCAAUUCUUAUGUGGUUCAGGAAGCACCAAUGAUAAUACGAGUUAGACUGCUAUACAACUCGACUUAUCUACUGAAACAAGGUGUUUAGCGGAUCAACAAGAUGCUUACAGAUAUAGAACAGCAAGAGGGUGAAGUGUGGGUAUAACAUGGCAAAUGAUAGACCCGGUGAAGAACGAAUGACAGUUGUGCAGAGGGUUAAGGGGUGUGGUUACAACGUGACAAUAAGAGAAAGACCCGGUAAAGAAGGAUUGAACGUUGUGUGGGCUUUCCAUGUAUGAAUACUACUGGCAGUGUUACAGUGUGCUGAUAUGUGCUUUGUAAACAGCAGGCCAAGUGGUCCAUUAGAAAAGGGCUGGAUAGAUUAUCAAACAAUGAGGGAAGCGAGGUAGAGCUCGGGAUGACGGCGUAAUGAUUAGCUGUCUUCAAGUAGAAGAUCCGGACAACCAUAAGGGCGUGCGAUUUUUUUUCCGAUGCAAUGCAUGGGCGCCACGACCGACCUCAACCUUCGGAUUUCACAGUACUGUAGUAUUCAUAGAAGUCUACUUUUU
rnacentral:lncRNA from 1 species